GACAGAGGCCCCAAGCGUUAGGCGGAAUCACUGGGCUUAAAGCGUGUGUAGGCGGAUCGUUAAGUGUCUUGUGAAAUCCCACGGCUCACCCGUGGAACUGCUGGGCAUACUGGCGAUCUUGGGCCAACUAGGGGCAGUCGGAACAAGCGGUGGAGCGGUGAAAUGCGUAGAUAUUGCUUGGAACGCCGAAGGUGAAAACAGACUGCUGGGGUUGCGCCGACGCUGAGACACGAAAGCCAGGGGAGCAAACGGG
rnacentral:rRNA from 1 species